UGGGACGUUGGGUAAAUGGAAGCCCGCGCCGACUCCAAAUCGGCGAAGCGUAGGUUCGAUUCCUACCGGCUCAG
rnacentral:tRNA from 1 species